rnacentral:rRNA from 1 species
UACGUAGGGGGCAAGCGUUGUCCGGAUUUAUUGGGCGUAAAGAGCGUGUAGGCGGUUUGGUAGGUCCGCUGUGAAAACUCGAGGCUCAACCUCGAGACGCCGGUGGAAACCAUCAGACUAGAGUCCGGAAGAGGAGAGUGGAAUUCCUGGUGUAGCGGUGAAAUGCGCAGAUAUCAGGAAGAACACCCGUGGCUAAGGCGGCUCUCUAGUACGGUACUGACGCUGAGACGCGAAAGCGUGGGGAGCGAACAGGG